rnacentral:rRNA from 1 species
UACGAAGGGGGCUAGCGUUGCUCGGAAUCACUGGGCGUAAAGGGGUGCGUAGGCGGGUCUUUAAGUCAGGGGUGAAAUCCUAGAGCUCAACUCCCAGAACUGCCUUUGAUACUGAAGAUCUUGAGUUCGGGAGAGGUGAGUGGAACUGCGGAGUGUAGAGGUGAAAUUCGUAGAUAUUCGCAAGAACACCAGUGGCGAAGGCGGCUCACUGGCCCGAUACUGACGCUGAGGCACGAAAGCGUGGGGAAGCAAACAGGGAUUAGAAACCCAUUGUACGUCCGA